rnacentral:lncRNA from 1 species
AAAAUGUGAAGCGAAAGCAAUAUUAAUCAAACCGCAUCAAAAACAACAAAAGGAGAAACAAAAGAAACAAACCCGAGCUGCUGCAUGUUGUUGCUGAAAUGCUGAGUAGCGUUAUCGUGUGGGCGGUGUUGUUGUUUCUUUGCAAUGCCACUAUAAGAGGAUUCACGUGUGCCGGAAAAUGAAAAUGGAAAGAUGGUGGUCGGUAGCGGUAUCGGAGCUUUGAGAGGGGGUGUACGUUGAGGUCGUGGUGAUGCGAAUUCCGCGGUUUAUUGGUUUUGUGUGCAUGUGAUUAUAGAGGGGUUGUAUGUGAUAAAUGAGUGAAGAGGAAAAUAUGGAAGGUGGUUGAAAGAAGCUGGAGUACAUGAAAAAGUGAAGAGGAUGCAAGAUUUGAAUAUCUUUUGUGUGUUAAAAAAAAAGUUCUUUAUUACCAUCAAUUGGUGAUUUUUGUAGUGUGGUUAACGUGUGGGUGAUUGGUUCCAAUUCAAGGCAAUGUUUUUUUUUAUACUUUUUUUCCUUUCAAGGAUGUUAUACUUAUUUUGUGUAAGAGGACCACUUAUCCUCUUUUUUGAAAACACAUAAACUCUCUUUUUACUAUAAAAAAAUAAAAUUGCAAUUUUCAUGAAACAAUCUUACCAACCUAACUGACACUAGUAUUAGAACAACAAAAUACAUACCCUUUUGAUUCCUUUAUCUGUAAAAUGAAUUAAAACUAAUAAUUUAAAUAAAAAUUAAAAUACUUAAAACAAAAUCAAAAUAAAAAUAUAAACAAUUCUAUUUGAUUAUUUAAAACCUAUUGACAAAAAAAUAGGAAAAAAAGAAGACUAAAAAUGAAUAAAAAUUGGACGCAAAAGUGCUCGAAAAAUUAAAAUGAAUGAACCAAAAUGACCAGUGCGAAAUAAACUUAUUGAAAAAAUACAGUGUUUCUUUUAAUUUUGAAAUAAAUUUUGACCNGUUGAGGUUGUGGUGAUGCGAAUUCCGUGGUUAUAUUGGUUUUGUGUGCAUGUGAUUAUAGAGGGGUUGUAUGUGAUAAAUGAGUGAAGAGGAAAAUAUGAAAGGUGGUUGAAAGAAACUGCAGUACAUGAAAAAGUGAAGAGGAUGCAGGAUUUGAAUGUCUUUUGUGUGUUAAAAAAAAAGAGUUCUUUAUUACCAUCAAUUGGUGAUUUUUGUAGUGUGGUUAACGUGUCGGUGAUUGGUUCCAAUUCAAGGCAAUGCUUUUUUUUAACUUUUU